UGGGGAAUAUUGCACAAUGGACGGAAGUCUGAUGCAGCAACGCCGCGUGCGGGAUGACGGCCUUCGGGUUGUAAACCGCUUUUUCUCAUGACGAAGUUUUUUGACGGUAGUGGGGGAAGAAGCACCGGCUAACUACGUGCCAGCAGCCGCGGUGAUACGUAGGGUGCGAGCGUUGUCCGGAAUUAUUGGGCGUAAAGAGCUUGUAGGCGGUUUGUCGCGUCGAUAGUGCAAACUCAGUGCUUAACGCUGAGCCUGCUGUUGAUACGGGCAGACUAGAGGAAGGUAGGGGAGAAUGGAAUUCCCGGUUGAGCGGUGGAAUGCGCAGAUAUCGGGAGGAACACCGGUGGCGAAGGCGGUUCUCUGGGCCUUUCCUGACGCUGAGAAGCGAAAGCGUGGGGAGCGAACAGG
rnacentral:rRNA from 1 species